rnacentral:rRNA from 1 species
ACUGUUUACUUGAUCUUGAUUUUCCUACUUGGAUAACUGUGGUAAUUCUAGAGCUAAUACACGCAAUAAAGCUCGGACCUUACGGGACGAGCGCAUUUAUUAGACCAAAACCAAUCGGGCCUCGGCCUGAACGGUGGUGACUCUGAAUAACUGAGCUGAUCGCAUGGUCUUUGUACCGGCGACGCAUCUUUCAAGUGUCUGCCUUAUCAACUUUCGAUGGUAGUUUAUGUGCCUACCAUGGUUGUUACGGGUAACGGAGAAUAAGGGUUCGACUCCGGAGAGGGAGCCUGAGAAACGGAUACCACAUCCAAGGAAGGCAGCAGGCGCGCAAAUUACCCACUCUCGGCACGAGGAGGUAGUGACGAAAAAUAACGAGGCGGUUCUCUAAGAGGCCCGCUAUCGGAAUGGGUACAAUUUAAACCCUUUAACGAGGACCUAUGAGAGGGCAAGUCUGGUGCCAGCAGCCGCG